rnacentral:lncRNA from 1 species
GAAAUAUCUAUAACCUACACAGGCACGAUAGCCGGUUAUAGGAUGUGAUAAUUAUAGAUUAUCGUUGAUUUCAACGAGAUUCAUUUUCUCGCUUGAGCCGGUACUGCGAAAGCGAGAAAAGCAAUCGAGUUGAGAUGACCAAUUAUAAUCUGUGUAUCGCUAUUUUACCUAUGACGACGUUUUCAAAUUCAUGUCAAUUUCAUUAGUAACACCAC